CCGAGAGGCGUAGGCGAUGGACAACGGGUUGAUAUUCCCGUACCCGUGUAUCCGCGCCCAUGCUGAAUCAGUUGUACUAACCAUCCAGAUCCCCCAGGAGCACCUUCGGGUGCCGGGUGGGGUGAUGCAUGGGACCUUGGCUGGUAGUAGGCAAGCGAUGGGGUGACGCAGGAAGGUAGUGGGGCCAGUCAGUGGUUGUACUGGUGUAAGCCUGUAGGGCGUGUUCUAGGCAAAUCCGGAACACAUGCAGCCUGAGAGGUGAUGCGUAGCCGUUGCGGUGAAUUCCAUGAUCCUAUGCUGCCAAGAAAAGCCUCUAGUGAGUUGGUACACGGCCCGUACCCCAAACCAACACUGG
rnacentral:rRNA from 1 species